rnacentral:lncRNA from 1 species
AAACACGAGCACCAGACCUGACUGGGUGGUUGAGGGAGCUCCUGGUGAAAUGUGCUGAGGCUUCUGCUGAGGUUUCUACCUCAGCUCCACGGCCUGGCCAGUUCAAUGGAUUGAAGAAAAUGUUCACGGAAGGAAGAUGAUUAAUUGAUCCAGAGGGCCUGUAGCAACUCUGUUUAACAUGCUAGAUGAGCCAGUCUUAUUCAGUGAUGACUAAGGAUCUAGAGAAAACUGGUGUCAGAUGACUUCUUGGCAGUCAUUUGCAGACUAAGGUAGCUUUGAAGGUGAAGAUUCUUUGUGUUCAUUCUCAUCCUGAUGUAAAAAUACUACCUGAGACUGGAUAAUUUAUAAACAAAAGAGGUUUAAUUGAUUCACAGUUCCUCAUGCCUGGGGAGGCCUCAGGAAACUUACAAUCACAGCGGAAGGCAAAAGGGAAGAAGGCACCUUCUUCACAAGGUGGCAGGAGAGACAGUGAGGAAGUGCCAUACUUUAAAACCAUCAGCUCUCAUGAGACUUCACUCAUGAUCACGAGAACAGCAUGGGGAACCUUCUCCCAUGAUUCAAUCACCUCCCACCAGCUCCCUCCUCGACAUGUGGGGAUUACAAUUUGAGAUGAGAUUUGGGUGGGUACACAGAGACAAACCAUAUCUAUCAAUUCUGAAUGUUUAAUACCAGUAUUAUUAGAGGAGGAUCUAGUCCCCUUCAGGACAUAAGGAUCUAUGAUCCUCUGUCAGAACAUAUUAGACCCUUUCCUUUGGCUAUAACCAAAAGAUUAUAAACAUACAUCCAGGAAUAAAAAUAGUAUAUUAAAAUUGUGUGUGUGUGUGUGUGUACGAAUGUAAAUUUUUUGUGCCAAAUCUAAAGACUCUUUACCUAGUCCUAAUGUGUCUUGAAGAUCUUCUGCAGUUUUUUUUCUAGAAAUUUUAUAGUUUUAUGUUUUACAUUUAAGUCUGUGAUUCAUUUUUAGUUAAUUUUUUUUGUAUAAGAUGUGAAGCUUAGGUUAAGGUUCAUGUUUUUGCCUAUGGUUGUUCAAUUGCUCUAAUAGCAUUUAUUGAAAAGGUUAAUGAUUUAUUUGUACUUCUGCCAAAAUUAAUUGAUCAUACUCAUGUGGUCAUACUUCCGCUUUCUCUGUUUUAUACCACUUAGCUUUGUCUAUCUUGCUAUCAAUACCACACUGUCUUGAUUACUGUAGCUAUAUAUUACUGUAGCUAUAUAGUAAACUUUAAUAAAAGGAAGAUGAACUUUCUUCUUCUUUUUUCAAAAUCGUUUUGGCUGUUUAAGGUCUUUUUCUUUUGGUAUACAUUUUAGAGUAAAAGUACAUACUUCUGUGAAAUACCUUACUAAGCUUCUGAUAGGAAAUACGAUAACACUGUAGAACAGUUUAGGGAGGACUGGUAUCUUUACUAAAUCUUCUAACCCAUAAACAUGAUAUUUAGGUCUUCUUGUCUUUCACCAACAUUUUGUAAUUUUCAACAUGUAGAUUCUAUACAAUUUUGUUGAGAUUAUGUCAUCUGUGAAUAAAGACUGUUUUAUUUCUUUUCCAAUUUGUAUGCCUUUUAUUUUUUUGUGUGCUUGUUAUAAUGACUAGAACUUCCAGUAAUACGUUGAAUAAUAGUGCUGAAAACAGAUUUCCUUGCCUUGUUCCUGAUCUUAGAGUGAAAGCAUUUAGCCUUUCACCAUUAUGUAUUACAUAGAUAUUGUUUCUUUUUUUUGUGUAUGUAAUUUCUUAUUAUGAGAUUAAGGAAGUUCCCUUCUAUUCCUAGUGUAUUGAAAGUUUUUAUAAUGAAUGGGUGUUGAAUUUUGU